AUGUACCACUCGUACACUCCGGUUCCUCCGCGCCGUCCGCACCCGCCUGGCGACUGCUCGCUACGUUUUGUUAGCC
rnacentral:sRNA from 1 species